GAUGAACACUGGCGGCGUGCCUAAUACAUGCAAGUCGAGCGUACGGACGAGAAGCUUGCUUCUCUGAUGUUAGCGGCGGACGGGUGAGUAACACGUGGAUAACCUACCUAUAAGACUGGGAUAACUUCGGGAAACCGGAGCUAAUACCGGAUAAUAUUUUGAACCGCAUGGUUCAAAAGUGAAAGACGGUCUUGCUGUCACUUAUAGAUGGAUCCGCGCUGCAUUAGCUAGUUGGUAAGGUAACGGCUUACCAAGGCAACGAUGCAUAGCCGACCUGAGAGGGUGAUCGGCCACACUGGAACUGAGACACGGUCCAGACUCCUACGGGAGGCAGCAGUAGGGAAUCUUCCGCAAUGGGCGAAAGCCUGACGGAGCAACGCCGCGUGAGUGAUGAAGGUCUUCGGAUCGUAAAACUCUGUUAUUAGGGAAGAACAUAUGUGUAAGUAACUGUGCACAUCUUGACGGUACCUAAUCAGAAAGCCACGGCUAACUACGUG
rnacentral:rRNA from 1 species